UUGACCUCGGAUCAGGUAGGGAUACCCGCUGAACUUAAGCAUAUCAAUAAGCGGAGGAAAAGAAACCAACCGGGAUUGCCCUAGUAACGGCGAGUGAAGCGGCAAGAGCUCAAAUUUGAAAGCUGGCCCCCGCGGGGUCCGCAUUGUAAUUUGCAGAGGAUGCUUCGGGAGCGGUCCCCAUCUAAGUGCCCUGGAACGGGCUGUCAUA
rnacentral:rRNA from 1 species